rnacentral:misc_RNA from 1 species
ACCACCUGUGCACUUUUUGUAGACGUUGGAAAAAACAAUACCUCUCGGUUUGAGGACUGUCGUGCGCAAGCCGGCUUUCCUUGCAUUUUCCAGUCUAUGUUUUUAUAAUACACACCUAUAGUAUGUUUCAGAAUGUCAUUUAACGGGCUUAAUUGCCUUUUAAUCCUAUACAACUUUCAACAACGGAUCUCUUGGCUCUCGCAUCGAUGAAGAACGCAGCGAAAUGCGAUAAGUAAUGUGAAUUGCAGAAUUCAGUGAAUCAUCGAAUCUUUGAACGCACCUUGCGCUCCUUGGUAUUCCGAGGAGCAUGCCUGUUUGAGUGUCAUGAAAUUCUCAACCUUUUCAAUCUUUUAUUGGUUGAAUUAGGCUUGGAUAUGGGAGUCUGUUGCUGGCUUCUAUUAGAAAAAGGAUCAGCUCUCCUUAAAUUUAUUAGCGGGACCUUUGUUGCCCCCCUCAGCUGUUAGUGUGAUAAUUAUCUACGCUAUUUG